UACAGAGGGGGCAAGCGUUGUUCGGAAUUACUGGGCGUAAAGGGCGCGUAGGCGGCCCGCUAAGUCGAACGUGAAAUCCCCGAGCUCAACUCGGGAACUGCGUCCGAUACUGGCGGGCUUGAAUCCGGGAGAGGGAUGCGGAAUUCCAGGUGUAGCGGUGAAAUGCGUAGAUAUCUGGAGGAACACCGGUGGCGAAGGCGGCAUCCUGGACCGGCAUUGACGCUGAGGCACGAAAGCGUGGGGAUCAAACAGG
rnacentral:rRNA from 1 species